AGCAGCCGCGGUAAUUCCAGCUCCAAUAGCGUAUAUUAAAGUUGUUGCAGUUAAAAAGCUCGUAGUUGAAUUUCGGGAUCAGUACGUCGGUCGUGCCUUCGGUACGUACUGGCGUCGCUGAUUUCUCCUUUCUGACGAACCGUGAUGCCAUUAAUUUGGUGUUGCGGGGAAUCAGGACUGUUACUUUGAAAAAAUUAGAGUGUUUAAAGCGGGCACGCGCUUGAAUACAUUAGCAUGGAAUAACGAAAUAGGACGUUCGAUCUUAUUUUGUUGGUUUCUAGGAUUGACGUAAUGAUUAAUAGGGAUAGUUGGGGGCAUUAGUAUUCAAUUGUCAGAGGUGAAAAUUCUUGGAUUUAUUGAAGACUAACUACUGCGAAAGCAUUUGCCAAGGAUGUUUUCAUUAAUCUAAGAACGAAAGUUAGGGGAUCGAAGACGAUCAGAUACCGUCGUAGUCUUAACCAUAAACUAUGCCGACUAGGGAUCGGAUGAUGUUAAUUUUAUAAUGACUUCAUUCGGCGCCUUAAC
rnacentral:rRNA from 1 species